UACAGAGGGUGCAAGCGUUAAUCGGAAUUACUGGGCGUAAAGCGUGCGCAGGCGGCUUUGCAAGACAGAUGUGAAAAUCCCCGGGCUUAACCUGGGAACUGCAUUUGUGACUGCAUGGUUGGAGUGCGGCAGAGGGGGGAUGGAAUUCCGCGUGUAGCAGUGAAAUGCGUAGAGAUCGGGAGGAACACCAGUGGCGAAGGCGGCUACCUGGACCAGCACUGACACUGAGGCACGAAAGCGUGGGGAAGCAAACAGGG
rnacentral:rRNA from 1 species